AUUCCCUGAGUAGCGGCGAGCGAAACGGGAAAAGCCCAAACCAGCAAGCUUGCUUGUUGGGGUUGUAGGACUCCAAUAUGGUAGUUCUUUCAGAUAGUCGAAUGACUUGGAAAAGUCAGUCAAAGAGGGUAAAAACCCCGUAGACGAAAUGUGGAAGACACCUAGGAGGAUCCUGAGUACGGCGGAACACGAGAAAUUCCGUCGGAAUCCGGGAGGACCAUCUCCCAAGGCUAAAUACUCCCUAGUGACCGAUAGUGAACCAGUACCGUGAGGGAAAGGUGAAAAGCACCCCGGAAGGGGAGUGAAAUAGAACCUGAAACCGUGUGCCUACAACAAGUCAAAGCCCGUUAAUGGGUGAUGGCGUGCCUUUUGUAGAAUGAACCGGCGAGUUACGAUUGCAUGCGAGGUUAAGUUGAAGAGACGGAGCCGCAGCGAAAGCGAGUCUGAAUAGGGCGUUUGAGUAUGUAGUCGUAGACCCGAAACCAUGUGAUCUACCCAUGUCCAGGUUGAAGGUGCGGUAAAACGCACUGGAGGACCGAACCCACGUACGUUGAAAAGUGCGGGGAUGAGGUGUGGGUAGCGGAGAAAUUCCAAACGAACUUGGAGAUAGCUGGUUCUCUCCGAAAUAGCUUUAGGGCUAGCCUCGGAAUUGAGAAUGAUGGAGGUAGAGCACUGUUUGGACUAGGGGCCCAUCUCGGGUUACCGAAUUCAGAUAAACUCCGAAUGCCAUUCAUUCAUAUCCGGGAGUCAGACUGUGAGUGAUAAGAUCCAUAGUCGAAAGGGAAACAGCCCAGACCACCAGCUAAGGUCCCAAAAUAUAUGUUAAGUGGAAAAGGAUGUGGGGUUGCACAGACAACUAGG
rnacentral:rRNA from 1 species